GUGGGGAAUAUUGGGCAAUGGGCGAAAGCCUGACCCAGCAACGCCGCGUGAAGGAAGAAGGUUUUCGGAUCGUAAACUUCUAUCCUUGGUGAAGAUAAUGACGGUAGCCAAGAAGGAAGCCCCGGCUAACUACGUGCCAGCAGCCGCGGUAAUACGUAGGGGGCAAGCGUUGUCCGGAAUGAUUGGGCGUAAAGGGCGCGUAGGCGGCCCGGUAAGUCUGAAGUGAAAGUCCUGCUUUUAAGGUGGGAAUUGCUUUGGAUACUGUCGGGCUUGAGUGCAGGAGAGGUAAGCGGAAUUCCCGGUGUAGCGGUGAAAUGCGUAGAGAUCGGGAGGAACACCAGUGGCGAAGGCGGCUUUCUGGACUGACCCUGACGCUGAGGUGCGAAAGCGUGGGUAGCAAACAGGAUUAGAUACCCCGGUAGUCC
rnacentral:rRNA from 1 species